rnacentral:rRNA from 1 species
UUGAACGCUGGCGGCAGGCCUAACACAUGCAAGUCGAACGGUAACAGGAAGAAGCUUGCUUCUUUGCUGACGCGUGGCGGACGGGUGAGUAAUGUCUGGGAAACUGCCUGAUGGAGGGGGAUAACUACUGGAAACGGUAGCUAAUACCGCAUAACGUCGCAAGACCAAAGAGGGGGACCUUCGGGCCUCUUGCCAUCGGAUGUGCCCAGAUGGGAUUAGCUAGUAGGUGGGGUAACGGCUCACCUAGGCGACGAUCCCUAGCUGGUCUGAGAGGAUGACCAGCCACACUGGAACUGAGACACGGUCCAGACUCCUACGGGAGGCAGCAGUGGGGAAUAUUGCACAAUGGGCGCAAGCCUGAUGCAGCCAUGCCGCGUGUAUGAAGAAGGCCUUCGGGUUGUAAAGUACUUUCAGCGGGGAGGAAGGGAGUAAAGUUAAUACCUUUGCUCAUUGACGUUACCCGCAGAAGAAGCACCGGCUAACUCCGUG